CUUCCGUCGAAAACGCCAUGAAAUCUCAUCUCUGCGAAAAUCUCACUCGCAAUCGACAAGUCCUCUAUCCGAUUCUUCGGCCCGCCAAACAGAGGCCUAAGAACUUCGAACGCCGAGGUGAAUAUAUUCCUACAACGUAAAACACAAAAUCAUCGGAAAAGAUCUGACCGGGCGGCAGCUUCACGGAGGGUAUCUUCUCCUCGACGAAGUCCAGACUAGCACACAUCGCACUAUCGA
rnacentral:lncRNA from 1 species